UAUAUCAGCAAGGCGGCUAAACCCGAGGCUCUACAACUGUAGUGUCUCCCACCCGCCCUCCUCCUCUAACCUAGUUAAUAAGGCACUCAGACAUGAACUAAUGGAUAAGGAGGAGACAAUCAUAACUGCUUUGGAUUCAGCCCAUAGAAGGGCCAGAGGAGUCGCGCUGACACCUUCAUGUUUAAACAGAGGACACUUUUCUGCGUGCCACUAGAUGUAUAUCAGCCAUACCAAAAUGCUGCCUUUGCCUGAGACAGGGAAGAUGAAAUGACUUUGGGGAAAUGGAGAAUCAUUCAUGAAUCCAGUUACUUUCUGAUCUGACAGCUUUGUGGCAUCUGAAUGGAUAACAAUUUGAUCUGGUAAUCUCAAUUGAUAGAGUGCAAAUGUGUAGUGAUGCAUUUUGGGAGCUCUGGUAAGUGAAAGAUGUUCACAAUGACUAGUAGAUCCCUAGAGAGCACUGAGAAACAAAGGGACCUUGAUGUCCAAAAGCAAGAGUUCAUGCCCUCUGCUUCUGGCCUUUC